GACCCCUACACUUUCAAUGAUGUAAACAACAAACAACAUUAAAAGGCAAGCGAAAAAAUGGGUUAUCGCGGCUUACGCCCUUAGUAUGUUUAUACUUCUAAGCAUUAAAACUAACUCAUACAAUGGCAUAAUAUUAUGCUACUGUAUUGCCUAUAAACAAUUGUAUCAACUUAACUGUAACAACAUAAUUACCAUAAUUUUUUAUAACUAACA
rnacentral:lncRNA from 1 species